rnacentral:rRNA from 1 species
UACGUAGGGGGCUAGCGUUGUCCGGAAUCAUUGGGCGUAAAGCGCGCGUAGGCGGCCAGAUAAGUCCGGUGUGAAAGUCACAGGCUCAACCUGUGAAUGCCGCUGGAAACUGUCUGGCUAGAGUCCGGAAGGGGCGAGUGGAAUUCCUGGUGUAGCGGUGAAAUGCGCAGAUAUCGUAAGGAAGACCAGUGGCGAAGGCGGGUCUCUGGACAGUUCCUGACGCUGAGGCACGAAGGUCAGGGGAGCAAACGGG